GACGAACGCUGGCGGCGUGCCUAAUACAUGCAAGUAGAACGCACAGUUUAUACCGUAGCUUGCUACACCAUAAACUGUGAGUUGCGAACGGGUGAGUAACGCGUAGGUAACCUGCCUGGUAGCGGGGGAUAACUAUUGGAAACGAUAGCUAAUACCGCAUAAUAUUGAUUAUUGCAUGAUAAUUGAUUGAAAGAUGCUAUUGCAUCACUACCAGAUGGACCUGCGUUGUAUUAGCUAGUAGGUGAGGUAACGGCUCACCUAGGCGACGAUACAUAGCCGACCUGAGAGGGUGAUCGGCCACACUGGGACUGAGACACGGCCCAGACUCCUACGGGAGGCAGCAGUAGGGAAUCUUCGGCAAUGGACGAAAGUCUGAACGAGCAACGCCGCGUGAGUGAAGAAGGUUUUCGGAUCGUAAAGCUCUGUUGUAAGAGAAGAACGGGUGUGAGAGUGGAAAGUUCACACUGUGACGGUAUCUUACCAGAAAGGGACGGCUAACUACGUG
rnacentral:rRNA from 1 species